GAUGAACGCUGGCGGCGUGCUUAACACAUGCAAGUCGAACGGAGUUGUUUCACUGACGAGACUUCGGUCAAAUCUUGAAACAACUUAGUGGCGGACGGGUGAGUAACGCGUGGGUAACCUGCCAUAUACAGGGGGAUAACACUUAGAAAUAGGUGCUAAUACCGCAUAAGCGCACGGUUCUGCAUGGAACAGUGUGAAAAACUCCGGUGGUAUAUGAUGGACCCGCGUCUGAUUAGCUAGUUGGUGAGGUAACGGCCCACCAAGGCGACGAUCAGUAGCCGGUCUGAGAGGAUGAACGGCCACAUUGGGGACUGAGAUACGGCCCAGACUCCUACGGGAGGCAGCAGUGGGGAAUAUUGGGGCAAUGGGGGAAACCCGUGACCCAGCAACGCCGCGUGA
rnacentral:rRNA from 1 species